rnacentral:lncRNA from 1 species
GUGUGUGUGUCUGUGUGUGUGUGUGUGUGUUUGUACUUAUGUAUAGUUAUUUACUUGGGAUAAAUUCUAGAUGUGGAAUUUCUAGCUCCAAGCGUAUUGCCAUAUUUGAGGCAAUAUGCAGUUAAAGUUGCCUUAGUAAAUUGUCCCCAGACAAGUUUUAUGAAUUUGCACUCUAGUUACAUGGAGAAAAUAACAAUCUCUUUAUUGGUGUGUAUUCUUAUGAGAAUAUGAAUUAAAAUUUUUCUUUUUAAUAUUAGCUCAGACUGUAGUGAUGGCUCAGCUGUUAUAGUACACAUUCCUCCAGAGGACUUGAGUUUAGUUCCCAGCACCCAUGUCAGGAAGCUCACAACCCUCCUGUGACUCUAGCUCCAAGAGAUCAAACACCUCUGGCCUCUGAUUAAAAAUAAGAAAGAAGGGCUAUAGAGAUGGCACAGUAGACUAGAGCACUCAGUGCUCUUCCAGAGGACCUAGGUUCAAUCCCCAGCACUCACAGUAUCUCACAACCACCUGUAACCCCAGCUUCUAGGAUCUGAUGUCUUUGUCUAGCUUCCUUUGGCACCAGGCACACACAUGGUGCAUAUCUGUACCUGAAGGACAGGAAGGAAAACCACUCAUACACAUAAAAUAAAAUGAGGCAGGCCUGGUGCAGCUGGUGCUACAUGCUUGUAAUUCCAGCAUUUCUAAAGGUGAGGAGGGGGAACUGCAAGUUCAAAGCUAGUUUGUGCCACCUGGUAAAUUUGAAGGAAGCCGGGAUGGUAUACGAGCCUGUCUCAAAAUAAACAAAAUCAAGCACAGGGCUUUAAUUCCAGUACUUGGGAGUCAGAAGCAGGCAGAUUGCUGUGUUUUUAAGGACAACCUGAUCUACAUAGUGAGUUCGAGGCCAGCCUGCAGGGCUACAAUAAUGAGACCUAGUCUCAAAAACAAAACAAAACAACAACAAAACAAAAAAAGAAAAAAAAAAAGAAAAGAGAGAGGAAAUCAAAUUCAUAUAAAGUCCCCCACCCCAUCUCUUUCCCUUCCUCCUCCCUCCCCUCUCUUUUUUCUUUGUGCUGAGGAUCAAGCCUAGGAGCUUGCAUGUGCUAGGUCAGUGCUCUGCCGCUGAGCUAAACUCCUAACCUGCUUCUGUCUUGAUAGUAAGGUUGAUUUUUCUUCCGCUUAGAUUUGUUUUUAAUACUUCUCAAUCUAAAAAUAUAUAUAGUUUAGCUGGGCAGUGGUGGCACACGCCUUUAAUCCCAGCAUUUGGGAGGCAGAGGCAGGUGAAUUUCUUGAGUCUGAGGUCAGUCUGGUCUACAGAGUGAGUUCCAGGACAGCCUGGGCUAUUCAGAGAAACCCUGUCUCAAACAAACACACACACACACAAAGUGUGAUUCAUCGGAAAAGCCUUGAUUUGUGGUGUUGAAAGGUGCUCCACACGCAGUUGUUUGGCCACAUCCACUUGUACUGUUUGAUAGCUUUUCCCAACUCUCUCUCUUCUACCUGCACUGCUUUUAUUCAAAAGUAGAAGUGGAUCUGAGAGAAGCUGUGUGGGAAUAAGCCUCCCUUACUGCCCCAGACCCACGUUUCCCAUAGUUCUUUCCCAUAUGCAAAUGCAAAGCUGGGUGGGUGCUGAGAUCAGCAGGAGUUGCCCCAUGAGCCCUCAAGUUCAGAGGCAAUGCAGGGCAUGUUACACACCUGGCCAGCAUGCCUGUUGGAGCGGCUUUGGACUCACCCAGGCUUAAGUUCGAAUGUUGGCUCUGCCAUUUUAUAUACUUUCAAAAUUAGCUUGGGUAAGUGACUUUCUCUGAACCUCAGUCUCCUCUCAUCUAUGGAAAGGGAGUAAACAUGUAUUGGGUUGU